rnacentral:rRNA from 1 species
GACAGAGGGCGCAAACGUUGUUCGGAAUUACUGGGCGUAAAGCGCGUGUAGGCUGCUUGGAAAGUCGGAUGUGAAAGCCCUGGGCUCAACCUAGGAAGUGCAUUCGAAACUUCUGAGCUGGAGUUCUGGAGAGGAAGGCGGAAUUCUCGGUGUAGAGGUGAAAUUCGUAGAUAUCGAGAGGAACACCGGUGGCGAAGGCGGCCUUCUGGACAGUGACUGACGCUGAGACGCGAAAGCGUGGGGAGCAAACAGG